rnacentral:rRNA from 1 species
GACGAACGCUGGCGGCGUGCUUAACACAUGCCAGUCGAGCGGAAAGGCCCUGCUUGCAGGGUACUCGAGUGGCGAACGGGUGAGUAACACGUGGGUGAUCUGCCCUGCACUUCGGGAUAAGCCUGGGAAACUGGGCCUAAUACCGGAUAUGACCUUCCAUGUAGUGUGGGGGGUGGAAAGAUUUAUCGGUGUGGGAUGAGCCCGCGGCCUAUCAGUUUGUUGGUGGGGUAAUGGCCUACCAAGGCGUCGACGGGUAGCCGGCCUGAGAGGGUGGACGGCCACAUUGGGACUGAGAUACGGCCCAGACUCCUACGGGAGGCAGCAGUGGGGAAUAUUGCACAAUGGGCGGAAGCCUGAUGCAGCGACGCCGCGUGGGGGAUGACGGCCUUCGGGUUGUAAACCUCUUUCGACAGGGACGAAGCUUCGGUGACGGUACCUGUAUAAGAAGCACCGGCUAACUACGUG